UCGCAUGUAUGUUUGUAAUCAAUUAAUAAUUUUCCGAGAGCCACAUGUACAUUAUCUGUAUUGAUAUUAAUGCCUUGCUUAUACUUGAGCGUCCAACCUAGGUUGUAACUAGGGAGUAACUACCCAACCUAGGUUGUAACUAGAGAGUAACUACCCAACCUAGGUUGUAACUAGGGAGUAACUACCCAACCUAGGUUGUAACUAGGGAGUAACUACCCAACCUAGGUUGUAACUAGGGAGUAACUACCCAACCUAGGUUGUAACUAGGGAGUAACUACCCAACCUAGGUUGUAACUAGGGAGUAACUACCCAACCUAGGUUGUAACUAGGGAGUAACUACCCAACCUAGGUUGUAACUAGGGAGUAACUACCCAACCUAGGUUGUAACUAGGGAGUAACUACCCAACCUAGGUUGUAACUAGGGAGUAACUACCCAACCUAGGUUGUAACUAGGGAGUAACUACCCAACCUAGGUUGUAACUAGAGAGUAACUACCCAACCUAGGUUGUAACUAGGGAGUAACUACCCAACCUAGGUUGUAACUAGGGAGUAACUACCCAACCUAGGUUGUAACUAGGGAGUAACUACCCAACCUAGGUUGUAACUAGGGAGUAACUACCCAACCUAGGUUGUAACUAGGGAGUAACUACCCAACCUAGGUUGUAACUAGGGAGUAACUACCCAACCUAGGUUGUAACUAGGGAGUAACUACCCAACCUAGGUUGUAACUAGGGAGUAACUACCCAACCUAGGUUGUAACUAGGGAGUAACUACCCAACCUAGGUUGUAACUAGGGAGUAACUACCCAACCUAGGUUGUAACUAGGGAGUAACUACCCAACCUAGGUUGUAACUAGGGAGUAACUACCCAACCUAGGUUGUAACUAGAGAGUAACUACCCAACCUAGGUUGUAACUAGGGAGUAACUACCCAACCUAGGUUGUAACUAGGGAGUAACUACCCAACCUAGGUUGUAACUAGGGAGUAACUACCCAACCUAGGUUGUAACUAGGGAGUAACUACCCAACCUAGGUUGUAACUAGGGAGUAACUACCCAACCUAGGUUGGGUAGUUACUACCAGUAACUACCAACUAAAAAAAAGUUACUACCAACCUAGGGAGUAACUACCAACCUAGGUUGUAACUAGGGAGUAACUACCCAACCUAGGUUGUAACUAGGGAGUAACUACCCAACCUAGGUUGUAACUAGGGAGUAACUACCUAACCUAGGUUGUAACUAGGGAGUAACUACCCAACCUAGGUUGUAACUAGGGAGUAACCACCCAACCUAGAUUGUAACUAGGGAGUAACUAUCCAACCUAGGUUGUAACUAGGGAGUAACCACCCAACCUAGGUUGUAACUAGGGAGUAACCACCCAACCUAGGUUGUAACUAGGGAGUAACUAUCCAACCUAGGUUGUAACUAGGGAGUAACCACCCAACCUAGGUUGUAACUAGGGAGUAACCACCCAACCUAGGUUGUAACUAGGGAGUAACUGCCCAACCUAGGUUGUAACUAGGGAGUAACCACCCAACCUAGGUUGUAACUAGGGAGUAACCACCCAACCUAGGUUGUAACUAGGGAGUAACUACCCAACCUAGGUUGUAACUAGGGAGUAACCACCCAACCUAGGUUGUAACUAGGGAGUAACCACCCAACCUAGGUUGUAACUAGGGAGUAACUACCCAACCUAGGUUGUAACUAGGGAGUAACCACCCAACCUAGGUUGUAACUAGGAGUAACUACCCAACCUAGGUUGUAACUAGGGAGUAACCACCCAACCUAGGUUGUAACUAGGGAGUAACCACCCAACCUAGGUUGUAACUAGGGAGUAACUACCCAACCUAGGUUGUAACUAGGGAGUAACCACCCAACCUAGGUUGUAACUAGGGAGUAACUACCCAACCUAGGUUGUAACUAGGGAGUAACUACCCAACCUAGGUUAGAUUUAAAGCGUGUGUGAACACGCUCCAAAUAGCCACUAAUGUGCCUGCAAUUACAAAGGAUUACAAAGGUUGAGCUGAACAAUUCCAGGAGGCAUAGUGUCACUCUUAAUAAAAAAUGUCUUAACUAACUAAUUAUUUAAAGGGUUGUUAAAAAGGCGCUCACAGUGCGAUACUUUUAGGAGCUUUUUAUCACGUAUGUAAUGCCUUGUGUCACGUACAUGCUGUCACAUGUUCGGUGGCACGUACCUGUUGACACGUGCUCGAUGUCACAUGUUCGGUGGCACGUACUUGAUGUCACGUACUUGUUGGCACGUACUUGUUGGCACGUACUUGUUGUCACGUACUUGUUGUCACGUUUUUGCAGUCACGUGCUCGAUGUCACAUGUUCGGUGACACGUAUUUUAUGUCACGUACCUGUUGUCACGUACUUGUUGUCACGUACCUGUUGUCACGUACUUGUUGUCACGUACUUGUUGUCACGUACCUGUUGUCACGUACUUGUUGUCACGUGCUCGAUGUCACAUGUUCGGUGGCACGUACUUGUCACGUACUUGCAGUCACGUGCUCGAUGUCACAUGUUCGGUGGCACGUACCUGUUGUCACGUACUUGUUGACACGUACCUGUUGUCACGUACUUGUUGACACGUACUUGUUGUCACGUACUUGCAGUCACGUGCUCUAUUGUCACAUGUUCGGUGGCACGUACUUGUUGGCACGUACCUGUUGUCACGUACUUGUUGGCACGUACCUGUUGUCACGUACUUGUUGACACGUACCUGUUGUCACGUACUUGUUGACACGUACCUGUUGUCACGUACUUGUUGACACGUACUUGUUGUCACGUGCUCCAUGUCACAUGUUCGAUGGCACGUACUUGUUGGCACUUACUUGUUGACACGUACCUGUUGUCACGUUCUUGCUGUCACGUGCUCGAUGUCACAUGUUCGGUGGCACUAACUUGUUGUCACGUUCUUGCAGUCACGUGCUCGAUGUCACAUGUUCGGUGGCACUAACUUAAUGUCAAGUUCUUGCAGUCACGUGCUCGAUGUCACAUGUUCGGUGGCACUCACUUUU